rnacentral:rRNA from 1 species
CCUCCGGGAGGCAGCAGUGGGGAAUUUUGGACAAUGGGCGCAAGCCUGAUCCAGCCAUGCCGCGUGUGGGAAGAAGGCCUUCGGGUUGUAAACCACUUUUGUCAGGGAAGAAACGGUCUGAACUAAUACUUUGGACUAAUGACGGUACCUGAAGAAUAAGCACCGGCUAACUACGUGCCAGCAGCCGCGGUAAUACGUAGGGUGCAAGCGUUAAUCGGAAUUACUGGGCGUAAAGCGUGCGCAGGCGGCUUUGCAAGACAGAUGUGAAAUCCCCGGGCUCAACCUGGGAACUGCAUUUGUGACUGCAUGGCUAGAGUACGGUAGAGGGGGAUGGAAUUCCGCGUGUAGCAGUGAAAUGCGUAGAUAUGCGGAGGAACACCGAUGGCGAAGGCAAUCCCCUGGACCUGUACUGACGCUCAUGCACGAAAGCGUGGGGAGCAAACAGGAUUAGAUACCCUGGUAGUCCACGCCCUAAACGAUGUCAACUGGUUGUUGGGAGGGUUUCUUCUCAGUAACGAAGCUAACGCGUGAAGUUGACCGCCUGGGGAGUACGGCCGCAAGGUUGAAACUUAAAGGAAUUGACGGCUGAGAGNGCGAGACGACGACGAGGAGAGG